rnacentral:rRNA from 1 species
UACAGAGGUUGCAAGCGUUGUUCGGAAUUACUGGGCGUAAAGAGCUCGUAGGCGGUCCGUUACGUCUGCCGUGAAAACUCGGGGCUCAACCCCGAGCCUGCGGUGGAUACGGGCGGACUAGAGUGCGGUAGGGGAGACUGGAAUUCCUGGUGUAGCGGUGAAAUGCGCAGAUAUCAGGAGGAACACCGGUGGCGAAGGCGGGUCUCUGGACCGAUACUGACACUGAGGAGCGAAAGCGUGGGGAGCGAACAGG